GAGCAGUGUAGGGUAUACACGUUCAAUAUAACUGAAAUAUUUAAAAAGUACAUGAAAAUACGGUAUAAAGUCACAUGAUUGGUUUUUCAUUAAACAAUGUGUAAAUUUUAUAUUUAAACAGAUGUGGUAUUUAUCACAUUUAUGGAUUCUCCUAUGACUGUAACAAAGAUUACCAGUAGAGGUAUCACCAUUGAGUUAUACAAUAACAGGGCGACAUCUGCCAAUUAUAUCUUUACCAAAACAGUUAACUUAAUGCUGAUCAUUUAAUAAAACAGUUUAUAUGGUGGUCAAGUUCCCCGCGUAAACUUGGGCACUUCGCCUGCUAUCAUGAUAUGCCUCAAAUAUAAAUCUCCUGUCUACCCUUACUCUAAAGAAAGAAAACCUGUGACAUUCCAAUGUCAGGUAUAUAAUUAUUUAAUCCAUGGUAGGGCGUACCAUAGACACUGAAUCUUAAAACCCUUUCUGAUGUACGACUAUAGGACUUCCCCACCAACUAAACCAUUCUGAACCCUAAGGUUGCCACUAUGUUCUACUGUUUUAACGGGGGUAUUCAUUCCAAAUCCACACAUCAACGGGAUUGUAGGUGCAUUGCCCAAGUGAAGUAGAGUAUUUGUAGCCCAUGCAAAUUUCCCAUUAUUAAAUAUACCUAAUAGAAAAAAAAUAGAGAUUAGGAAUAAAGUAUUAAGACUCGCCAGUGAGUGUAAACCCUAGCAAUCUCCCUAAUCUCUAAACUCCCAACCCUCCUAUCCCCUUAAUCAAUGUCUUCUCCCUUCGCCGGAUAUUCUCUCCAUUGUCACCACUGUUCAACAUGCCUUUCGCCUGUGCCGAUUUUAUUGAGGCCCAUAGGGCCUCUGCUGUAUGAAUCUCCUCUAUGCUAUGUAGCCACUGUUCCUUAGUGAGAAUCUCUACUUGUUUCCAAAAAACAGGUAUCGUAGCUUUUGCUGCGUUAAAAAAAGUCUCAAAAUUAUUUUAAUUUUUUUUAUAUUCGGAGAUUGGCAAAGGUGUAAGAUGUAACACCUGUUCCAUUACAAACAUUGGGGCCUCCCCAAAAAGAAUAUAACAAAGUUGCAUCACUGAUUCUGAUAUGUUAAAUCAACUGUAGACUGAAAGGGCUAUAAUGUGCCGCUGUGUAGGGGUGAACAGUAUGUGGGACAAACCCCAGCAGUGUGUGAAAAAUUUAAGAUCUUCGAAUUGUGUUAAUUAAAAGCCUGCGUUACUUUUACAGAUUCUGAAACAGAACUGAUGAAGGCAUUAAAGUCAUGGCAAUGAAAUCGUUGCUUGAAACUGUGCAACCCAUUAAAGGAGGCCUGGGGAAUAUUUCAUAUAACAUUGAGAUAAAACAAGAAAUAAAGGACAGGUCAUCUUUGAUGCUAAGAAAAAAAACUUUACUUUUGAAGCGCUAAGUGGAUUUUCAUUAUGUUCUCGGAUAUAUAUUAGAUUCCGCUAACCAUAAUGAAUGUCACAUUGAUGGACAGAGAAUACAGUCGGUAAUGAAAUGUAUCUUAAAGACCACCUGCCUAUGGCAACGCGUACCCCCUUUCUACUUUUACUGCACUUACAUUAAAUAAACAGCCACCUGUUUCCUGCACUUUUUCCUCUGAUGAUCCCUUGACUUCAGUAUAACCACAGGUGGAACAUUUUAUCCAUCCUUACAAGUACGCAAGAUAAUAAAGCUUUCAAUUUAAGUCGUGAUGUGGACUCGCUUCAUUAUUCAUUUGACGUCUUCAAAAACAUGCAGCCCAGUGACUAAAAAGAGGUUGUUGUUUUUUUGUGAAUAAGGCUUUGAAAAAAAUAUUAAGAGACUAAAUGAUCUUGUACAGACACGGCUUGAACUCAGAAUAAAAUAUCCCCCUUGAAAUGUCUAGAAUUAACAAAACUAAAUAGCUACAUUUACCAGAAAGCACUAUCUCGGGAUGUGCCUC